rnacentral:rRNA from 1 species
UACGGAGGGUGCAAGCGUUAUCCGGAUUCACUGGGUUUAAAGGGUGCGUAGGUGGGUUGGUAAGUCAGUGGUGAAAUCCCCGAGCUUAACUUGGGAACUGCCAUUGAUACUAUCAGUCUUGAAUACCGUGGAGGUCGGCGGAAUAUGUCAUGUAGCGGUGAAAUGCUCAGAUAUGACAUAGAACACCAAUUGCGAAGGCAGCUGACUACGCGAGUAUUGACACUGAGGCACGAAAGCGUGGGGAUCAAACAGG